AUCCAGACUCCUACGGGAGGCAGCAGUGGGGAAUAUUGCACAAUGGGGGAAACCCUGAUGCAGCGACGCCGCGUGAGUGAAGAAGUAUUUCGGUAUGUAAAGCUCUAUCAGCAGGGAAGAAGUUGACGGUACCUGAGUAAGAAGCCCCGGCUAACUACGUGCCAGCAGCCGCGGUAAUACGUAGGGGGCAAGCGUUAUCCGGAUUUACUGGGUGUAAAGGGAGCGUAGACGGCAGUGCAAGUCUGGAGUGAAAGCCCCGGGCUUAACCCGGGAAUUGCUUUGGAAACUGUACGGCUGGAGUGCUGGAGAGGUAAGCGGAAUUCCUAGUGUAGCGGUGAAAUGCGUAGAUAUUAGGAGGAACACCAGUGGCGAAGGCGGCUUACUGGACAGUAACUGACGUUGAGGCUCGAAAGCGUGGGGAGCAAACAGGAUUAGAUACCCUGGUA
rnacentral:rRNA from 1 species